CCUACGGGUGGCAGCAGUGGGGAAUAUUGGACAAUGGGGGGAACCCUGAUCCAGCCAUGCCGCGUGUGUGAAGAAGGCCCUCGGGUUGUAAAGCACUUUCAGUGAGGAAGAACGCCUGGUGGUUAAUACCCAUCAGGAAAGACAUCACUCACAGAAGAAGCACCGGCUAACUCCGUGCCAGCAGCCGCGGUAAUACGGAGGGUGCGAGCGUUAAUCGGAAUUACUGGGCGUAAAGCGCGCGUAGGUGGCUUGAUAAGCCGGUUGUGAAAGCCCCGGGCUCAACCUGGGAACGGCAUCCGGAACUGUCAAGCUAGAGUGCAGGAGAGGAAGGUAGCAUUCCCGGUGUAGCGGUGAAAUGCGUAGAGAUCGGGAGGAAUACCAGUGGCGAAGGCGGCCUUCUGGACUGACACUGACACUGAGGUGCGAAAGCGUGGGUAGCAAACAGGAUUAGAUACCCGAGUAGUC
rnacentral:rRNA from 1 species